UAGCACCAAUCAGGCCAUAGAUCAUCAACAAACCCUACAGAAAAACCAAUCAUCAACCCAAAAUCCAUAAAUUACAUCAUCAAACCACAGAUCCUCAACAACCCCAAAAAAAAAAAAACACAGAUCCUCUAUGCUUCUCUCUUUCAGAUCUGGUGUGGACAAUUUAUUAGGCGUAAACCAAAAAAAAAAAAAAAAAGAAGCGUAACAUUGUUAUUACUCACUCUUAACACAAACACAUUGCUUCACACAACCUUUCACAAAAACUCAAAACCCUUCUUCUGUUUCUCUCUCUAGAAAAAAAAGAAGGAAAGAAAGAAAGAAACACUCUCUUUCUCUCUCUUUCUUCUGUUUCUCUCUCCAUCCACGAUGCCGCCGUGCUCUGAGCCACGCCGAUCCACGCCACCGGCGUCCCUUGAUCUUCUCACUCUCCCUUGAUCUUCCCACACCACCCAUUUCCCUUCUCCAUCUCCACUCCACCGGCCACCACCGACCCAUUCAAACACACACUCACAAACCCAACACCACCAUACCCAUUCUCUCCGUUUCUCUCUUCCUAGCCGCAACUCACCACAAUUUCUUCCAUCAAUCUCUGCAAUUUCAGUCACCCAUAGCCAUGGCUUCUGGCAUGUUCGUGGAAGUCAUUAAAGAAGUUGGGUUGUGCCUAUGGCAUUCUGGGUCCAAGUGUUUAGUCCACAUUCGCGAUUUGAAAGAAAAUCUCAAUUCCUUGGAAGUUACUGUGGAGCAACUCAUGCAAAUAUAUGAAGAUGUGCAGCAAAGGGUCCAAACCGAAGAGUUAUUACCACUCGCGAAGCGUACCUGCGAAGUGGCUGGCUGGUUUGAUGGGGUACGGAAACUGAAUGAAGAUGUGAGCAAAACUCUCCAAGAUGGUAAGGAACAAGAGCAGAACAAGUGUCUUGCAGGUUAUUGUCCCAAAAACUGUUGGCGAAGCUAUAAGUUAGGAAAGAGAGUAAGAGAAAUGCUGGAUGAAGUAGAAAAGAUGAAGAAUAAUGGUCGAUUUGACAUUGUGGUUGCAAAGAUGCAUAAUCCCGUUAACAAGAAGCCCAUGGAUGAGACCAUGGGUUUAGAUCCCAUGCUUCAAAAGGUCUGGAGAUGCAUUGAAGACAAGAGUCUGAGAGUCAUUGGUUUAUAUGGAAUCGGAGGUGUCGGAAAGACUACCCUCCUUCACAGAAUAAACAAUCUGUUCUUGAGCCUAAGCCAUGACUUUGUGGAAGUUAUUUUGGUUUCAGUAUCAAAAGAACCAGACGUGAAAAAUAUUCAGAAUACAAUUCUCCAAAAAUUGGGUCUCCUUGAAGGCUCUAGAUUUGUUUCUAUAGAGGAAAAUGCCACGCUAAUAUGCCGCAGGCUAGAAGAGAGAAAGUUUUUGUUAUUGUUAGAUGAUAUAUGGGAAUGGCUUGAUCUCAACCUUGUAGGAAUUCCUCUUCCAGAUGAUCAGAAUGAGUCCAAAGUAAUAUUUACAACCCGAUUAGAGGAAGUUUGUGGCCUCAUGGGAGCUCAGCAAAAUAUCAAGGUGGAGUGUUUAACACAAGAAGAAGCCUUACGUUUGUUUCGGAUGAAGGUAGGUGAAAACACUUUAAAUUCCGAUCCACGUAUACCGAAGCUUGCAGAAGAUAUGGCUGCAGAAUGCAAAGGCUUGCCACUAGCUCUGGUCACUGUUGGGCGUGCAAUGGCUAGUAGGAAGGAUCCAGAAGACUGGGAGUCUGAAAUAGCCGCAUUGAGGAACACUCCUUCAGAGUUUCCAGGCAUGGAUUCUGUUCUGCUUCCUUUGAAGUUUAGUUUCGAAAAACUGCAGAAUGCUACCUUUAAGUCUUGUUUCUUGUAUUGUUGUCUAUUCCCUGAUGGAUAUAACAUCAGGAAAGAAGAACUCAUUGAAUAUUGGAGAGCAGAAAGGCUUCUAGAUGAAUAUUACCAUGAUGAAGAAUAUAUAAUCAGAAGUUUGGAGCGUGCAUGUUUACUGGAGAGUGGUGAAUCAGAAGAGUUCGUUAAGAUGCACGGUUUGAUUCGUGACAUGGCCUGGUGGGAAUGUAGAGACAAGGUUGCAAUAUUCAUCAAAAGAGAUGCUGAGUCAGAUGAAGAACGCGGAUUAAGCAUAUGGAAUGGAGUAGAAAGGUUGUCUUUGUGGGAUUAUAGUAUAGAUGAUGUCCUCAUAAAUUCUUCACCGUCAUGCAUAGAACAUUUCUGCAAAAAUGUCAAGCAGUUACCGAAUCUCCGUACUAUGAUUUGUAAGGUUCCAUUGUUAACAACAUUUCCAGCUGGUUUCUUCCCUUUGAUGUCUGCUUUGACACUCUUGGAUUUGUCAAAUAGUUUUCUCUUACGUGAGUUACCCAAGGAGAUUGGUAAAUUAAUCAACUUGGAAUAUCUUAAUGUCUCUGAAACUGCUAUCACAGAAUUGCCGGAUGAAAUUCAAUAUUUGGAAAAGUUAAGGUGCUUGAUAUUAAAUGGAACAAACAUUCCGGAAAUACAAAGGGGAUUGAUAUCAAGAUUUCAGUUCUUGGAAAUAUUUAGUAGGUUCGGUGACAAAUAUUUCAGUUACUCAGAGGUGUUAGAGGAUCUGGUUAACUUACCACAUUUGAGUGAAAUCUGCAUUGCCAUUACUUCCGACACAGCUAUCAUCCAAAGAUUAAUGUCAUUGGAGAGGUUACAACGGUGCAUAAGAAAACUCUCACUCUUCGCAUGCGAUGAGUUGACCUCCCUCGUACUAUCACCCACAUCGCUAUAUAGAAUGGAGCAUCUUGAAUUGCGUCAAUGUUCAAGUUUAAGAGAAGUGGGAAUUGAGACUUUUCCGAGCUAUCGAAUGCAUAAGUACUUUGACCAACUUUCCAUGUUUGGCAAAAUUCGCAGGGUAGUGAUUGGAGAUUGUGGCAACUUGAGAAGUGUGACGUGGCUCAUUUAUGCUCCAAAACUUGAAACUCUUGACUUACGUGACUGUAAAAAUUUGAGGGAAAUUAUAGGAUUCAUAUUGGGAGAUGAAGCAGAAAUAAAAAAAAUGUCAAAAAUUUUCAUAUUCUCAAGUCUCAAGGUUCUACGUUUGGUUAGGUUACCAGUCCUGCAUACAAUAUACCAGUAUGUCUUGUCCUUUCCUUUGCUCAGAAAGAUUGAGGUACUAAAAUGUCAUAGUCUAGAGAGGCUGCCAUUUGAUUCCAAAAGCGCGGAGAACUGUCUAAUUCAUGGAGAAGAAAAGUGGUGGGAUAGAUUGGAUUGGGCGGAUGAAGCGACUAAGCAAGUUUUUAGUUCAAAAUUCUUCCGUCAUUCCUGGUAAUUUAGGGCGAUGAUGACGACGAAGAUGUUGGGGCAAGUUCUAGUGCGAUUUGAUUCGCGGUUUCUUGCUUUUGUAUACUUGAGGCAACUGCUUGAAGAUUGAUUCAGGAAGAUGGCUUGCAAAAUACUGAAGGAUGAUGUGUUCAACAAUAUAAGAAGAAAAUGGAUGAAUGUUUGUGUGAAAGAGUGUUAAGUUUUCUUCUCAUGAACUUGUUUUUGGUUUUUCCAUUUGACCAUUCCGUCUUUUUGUUUUUCAUUUUACUUUUUUGCCAGUCGUGAAUUGUAUUGUAUUUGUUUGUGUUUUUUCUUCUCAUGCAAUCAGAAUUUUCUUUUUCUUUUUC